GAUGAACGCUAGCGGCGGGCCUAAUACAUGCAAGUUGAACGAGAUUGUUGGUAGCAAUACUGACAUGAAAGUGGCGCACGGGUGCGUAACACGUAUGUAACCUACCUUUAACUGGGGCAUAGCUUCGAGAAAUCGAAAUUAAUACCCCAUAACAUUUAGAAAAGGCAUCUUUUCUUUAUCAAAGUUCCGGCGGUUAAAGAUGGACAUGCGGUGCAUUAGCUUGUUGGUGAGGUAACGGCUCACCAAGGCUACGAUGCAUAGGGGGUCUGAGAGGAUGAUCCCCCACACUGGUACUGAGACACGGACCAGACUCCUACGGGAGCAGCAGUAGGGAAUAUUGGGCAAUGGACGAAAGUCUGACCCAGCCACGCCGCGUGAAGGAUGACUGCCCUAUGGGUUGUAAACUUCUUUUGUAUGGGAAGAAAAUUCCGAACGUGUUCGGAGCUGACGGUACCAUAAGAAUAAGCAUCGGCUAACUCCGUGCCAGCAGCCGCGGUAAUGUAG
rnacentral:rRNA from 1 species